GUUCAGAUUUUUUUGUUCUGCAAGUUCUCACAUUGUAUUCUACAAGCUCUCCCUUUUUGCACCAUAUUUACCUUCAUAAAAGAGAGGCUGCCCUCACCGAAGAUGUCCCUGGGAUUGAUUUCAGAGCUGCAAUCCUGCUGUUGCCGAUCCUGUUCAGGGAGAAAAAUGACAUUCUCAUCAUACUUGGAGAGGAUCAGCCUGGUUGUAGCGCUAUCCUAUUGCAUGCAGAGGGAGUUUGAAAG